UUCACAAAGCAUUCUUAGGAAGAAAAAAGUUCUUAAGUAGCACUUUUUUCUUAACUAUGUUCUUAAGACAAAAUUUAAGAAGAUUUGAUAUUCUUGAAGAAUUUCUUAGUUUUUUCUUAACUUUUUUCUCAACUUUCUUCUUAAGUUUUUUCCUAAGUUCCUACGUUUUUUCCUAAGAAAGUACUUAAGAACAAAUGAGAUUCUUGAAGACAAAGUUCUUGAAUUUCUUCUCAAAUUUCUUCACAACUUUAAGAUAACCCUUCACCAGUCUUAAACCAGCUGAAGUGAAAAGAUGGAAGUUCUUUGGGUGGCAGUUAGGGAGGAAAAUCCACCAAGGCCAUUGAGAGACAGAAUGGAUCCGCUCAUACUCCCUGAUCACAUGUUGAUUCGACAAUAUAGGCUCCCUAGGCCUGCAAUUAUUUAUUUGGCAGAUAUGCUUUGACCUGAAAAGGAAAACAAGGCGAUCGUCACCCCUUCCGGUUGUAACGCAAAUUUUGGCUGCCCUGAGAUUUUUUGCCUCUGGGUCUUUUCAAAUGGUGGUGGGGGGCACCCUGGGUGUGAGCCAAUCAUCCGUUAGCCGAGUGGUCAGAGAUGUCACAAAUGCACUCUGUAGAAGAGCACGGCAGUUCAUCAAGUUUCCAGCAACAGACGCAGAAUGCAUUCAAACCAAACAGAAAUUCUUUGAAAUAGCUGGAUUUCCAAACGUGCUGGGGGCAGUUGAUGGGACACAUAUUGCAAUCAAAGCACCAAGUGAUGAGGAGGAUGGCUUUGUCAAUAGAAAGAACUUCCACUCCAUUAACACUCAGGUGAUCUGUGAUGCAACACUAAGGGUUACUGACCUUGUGGCAAGGUGGCCAGGCAGUACCCAUGACUCCUUCAUAUUGAUGAAUUCGGGAACUUAUUAAAUUUAAUUUAAUGAAGGAGAAAUGCCAGAUGGAUGGUUGUUAGGUGAUAGUGGCUACGCUCUACGACCAUGGCUGAUGACUCCAAUCCUCCACCCAGCAACAGAGCCUGAACAGCGCUACAGCCGUGCGCAACGCAAAACCAGAAGUGUUGUGGAGAGGUGCAUUGGGGUUGUCAAAUCCAGAUUUUGAUGCAUUGACCGCUCUGGUGGAGUGCUCCAAUACACCCCUGAAAAGGGGUGUAAAAUCAUCACCUGUGCCUUCAUCCUGCACAACAUCUGCAUGAUGUACCGGCUGCCUCUUCCGGAUGUUCCAGACCACCAUGAACCAGAGGGAGAUGGCCCCGUCCCCGCCCCAUGUAAUACCGGCAUUCAAGUGAGACAAGAGCUUGUAAG